rnacentral:tRNA from 1 species
AAAAUUUAGUUAAAAGAUAACAUUAGUUUGUCAAACUAAAAUUAUUAAUCAUUAUUUUU